UGGGGGAUAUUGCACAAUGGGCGAAAGCCUGAUGCAGCGACGCCGCGUGGGGGAUGAAGGCUUUCGGGUUGUAAACCUCUUUCGCUAUCGAACAAGGCCCGCUUACGGUGGGUUGAGGGUAGGUGGAGAAGAAGCGCCGGCUAACUACGUGCCAGCAGCCGCGGUAAUACGUAGGGCGCGAGCGUUGUCCGGAAUUAUUGGGCGUAAAGGGCUUGUAGGCGGCUUGUUGCGCCUGCUGUGAAAACGCGGGGCUUAACUUCGCGCGUGCAGUGGGUACGGGCAGGCUUGAGUGUGGUAGGGGUGACUGGAAUUCCAGGUGUAGCGGUGGAAUGCGCAGAUAUCUGGAGGAACACCGAUGGCGAAGGCAGGUCACUGGGCCAUUACUGACGCUGAGGAGCGAAAGCAUGGGUAGCGAACAGG
rnacentral:rRNA from 1 species